AGAGGCUAAGCCAUGAUUAGGGUGCUUGUGCUCAGAGAUUGGUCGAAAACUUAAUCACAAGAUAAGCAUGUAGAAAGCCUCAGGCUUCCUUGUUUGGACGCGGGUUCGAUUCCCGCCGACUCCACUU
rnacentral:tmRNA from 1 species